CAGAUGUACAGGUGAGGUAACUGUUUCCUGUUCUUUCUGUUUGCUUUGACUGCAGCGAGUUAUCCGGUGAUUUCUGUCCUCAGCGUCUUUAUAUUCCACUUACAUUCAGAUAAUAUAGAUAUGAAGAGCUCGGCUUAAGGAGCGUCUGCACGGUUUCCUAUGAGGAAGCGUGUGUUAGGGUUUCCUCCAGGUCAGAGGUGGGAUGGCGGCGUUGACGUCGCAGCAGGAGUCGCCGAUCUCUGAGUCGGCAGGCAGCGCCGGCUUCUUCCUGUCCUUCUCCUCGCUGUCAGAGUCAUCCACCGUCAGCGAGAUGAGCGAGGUGGACUUGGACCUGUGAUGAGGAUGUGAAGUUUAUGCAGCUCAUCAAAACCCAACCUGACCAUCACAUGUUUGCCUGAACAAACCUUGGCAGCAAAAUUUCAGGUCCCUCAAAAUUCAGGAUGAAGCCUCCUGCAGGUCUCCAUCUGGACAUCCAGGCCUCUCUUCAUCGAACACAUCUCCAUGUACUCGUGCAGGUGGCGGUUCAUGUCGCUCUUUGCUGUGGCCAGCUCCAGCUGACGAAGACGCACAGAGAGGCAGAAUGCUGACAUUCACACUGCUGUUUCAUGGCUGCUGCUAAUUUUAAGGGGAUUAUUCUGUCUUUUCUUUUUUUAAGUUUUAGUUAUGGGUAUUUUAGCUUUUGGACAGUGAGGGGGAAAGACAUGCAGGAGAUGUGUGGGAGGCCACUGCAGCAGGGACACUUAUAGGUAUGAGAGUUGCCUCCAGCUCCCUGUCCUUCUUCCCUUAUUUAACACGUCCACAUCCACAGCUGCAGCGCCAACAACACCUGACCUUUACAUUUAUGUAACUCUCACCUCUAUCUGGUCGAUGGUGUCCUGGUAUUCCUUCUCUCUGGAUUUGAACAGAGACUCCGUGUCUUUGAUCACUUCCUCGAUGGACUCCUCCUGCAGAAAAAAAAGAAAAACCAAAAAGUCCAAGUUUGCUUCAGGUUUGACAUUUUUCAGGGUCAAAGUACAAAUUUAAAAACAAGUCACCAGUCUAAAUAUAUAAAGGUGUAGAAGAUAACAGAAAUAAUAAUAAUAAUAAUAAUAAUAAUAAUAAUGAUGAUAAUAUAAAAUAAUAAAUAUUGUUUUUCUGUUCAUGUCCUUCAAAUGUCUUCAAAGUGUGAAACUUGUGCACUUUGACAAACGGCUUCUAGGUACAAUACUGCCACCCUCUGGCACUAGCAGAUCAUUACAUGUGCAGCUAUUUAAAAAGAUAAAUAAGGGAAAAUGUGUAUUUAUAGUCACACAAACCUUAAUGACUAUUUCAAAAUCAGUACUGUCCCUACAGGAAGCCCAAAACAUUAAGCACACACAGCUUUGCAUGGGUGAGCCUCCUGUGAGUGCACAUCCAGACGUGUUUCCCUCUUUGAGAUUUAACUGGAUUAGAUUAGUUCUGCUUCUAAUAAACAGCCGGUCACAGUGUGAAGGCUGAGCACACUUUAGAACCACUGCUCUGCAUUAUUUUAAUUAUAAUUAAGCUUGAAAUCACCGACAAAUAUAUUUGAGUCAACACUGAAAUAAAGCAAACUGAAUUAAUAAAAUGAAGGGACUUGAGUUGGAUUUCCUUUAUUUAUCUGCUCUCCUUUAAACCAGAACAUAGUUGGAUUUUUUGUCACUGGAGGAGAGAGAGUUAAAAUGGAGCGUUGGCUCUCAGGAGGAAAAAUGUUAAAAGGGAGAAAAAGGAUGUGGUGGAAUAGCUGGUUUUAAUUAUGAAGCUUUGAGUGAGUGAAGUGACCCUGAGGUGUCUGUAUAAAAGUCAUAAUACGAGCUGCUGGUUAAAAUACAAAGAAAAAGACUUCAGAGCUUCCUCGGAUACUUCAUCAGUUCAGAUAUACCCGACAUCAUUUUGAGUAGAAUUAUUUUUAUUAGCUUCAUUAUUAUCACUGUGACCUUCAGAUAAAUAUACUGACCUUAAAGGAGAGGUCAGAGGUCACAAUCAAAAUCUUUACACACUACUUUCUAAUUUAUAUGUUGACAAUAAACGCUACACAUGUAAGAAUCA